UUCACAUAUUCUGCGUAUGCUCCAGGAUGUUUAGCCCCAAUAACGAUUAACUUCUCACACCUUGCUAAUUCUCCUUUUUGACAAUACAUACAUUUCCCACAACAGUAAGUCGGGCA
rfam:Virgibacillus massiliensis genome assembly, contig: 000001